CCGCAGGGGAGCGGCAGACGGGUGAGUAACGCGUGGGAACGUACCAUUUGCUACGGAAUAACUCAGGGAAACUUGUGCUAAUACCGUAUGAGCCCGAAAGGGGAAAGAUUUAUCGGCAAAUGAUCGGCCCGCGUUGGAUUAGCUAGUUGGUGGGGUAAAGGCCUACCAAGGCGACGAUCCAUAGCUGGUCUGAGAGGAUGAUCAGCCACACUGGGACUGAGACACGGCCCAGACUCCUACGGGAGGCAGCAGUGGGGAAUAUUGGACAAUGGGCGCAAGCCUGAUCCAGCCAUGCCGCGUGAGUGAUGAAGGCCCUAGGGUUGUAAAGCUCUUUCACCGGUGAAGAUAAUGACGGUAACCGGAGAAAAAGCCCCGGCUAACUUCGUGCCAGCCGCCG
rnacentral:rRNA from 2 species